UCCGUAGGGGGCAAGCGUUGUUCGGAAUUACUGGGCGUAAAGGGCGCGUAGGCGGCCCAGCAAGUCGGGCGUGAAAGCCCGGGGCUCAACCCCGGAAUGGCUUUCGAAACUGCUGAGCUAGAGUACAGAAGGGGCAACCGGAAUUCCCAGUGUAGCGGUGAAAUGCGUAGAUAUCGGGAGGAACACCAGUGGCGAAGGCGGCUAUCUGGGCUGCAACUGACGCUGAGGCGCGAAGGCUAGGGGAGCAAACAGG
rnacentral:rRNA from 1 species